GCAUCCACAACUGCAUUGCAUGGAGUAUACAUAUACUAUAAGUAAGACUUAAUUUUCAUAUAUAAAUCUAGAUCACAACUGCUAUAAGCACAAGCAUAAUAAUAAUAUGAGUGGUAUGGUACAAUUUAAUAUGAAGGUGAACUACAUUGUUUUUAAAUAUAUAUACGUAUCAAUAUUAAUAUCAUUAGACUCCACGAUAUAAAAA